CUUGCAACCAUGAAUCCUGACUGCUACAUGUGGAAGUGUGUUCUACAGGACUAAGGCAGAGGCUGAGGCAUCAUCAGCCUACCUGAGAUGAUGGAAUAAUUCAAGGAUCGGAAAGUGAAUCAAAGCAGAAUGCAUGGGAGAAAACAGGACAGUUUUUUAGUCUGCUCAUCAACAUCAUUUUAUCCGCAUUGUUCUCAAAAAUCUGAACAUUAAGACAACUCAAGUGUGACCUGACCAGUUCACAGAACGCUGAGAAUAUUACUUAGUACAAUCUCAUCACAAUACUUCUAUUUUGCAAUACAAGAUAGCCAUAUUAUACUUUGCUUAUAUUAAGUUUGUAACUAUCUAAAAUCUCCAAGUUUUUUAGAGCAAUCUACUUCCAGAUAACAUGUCUAUUUUAUACAUAAA
rnacentral:lncRNA from 1 species